AUUGAACGCUGGCGGCAUGCUUUACACAUGCAAGUCGAACGGUAACAGGCCUUCGGGUGCUGACGAGUGGCGAACGGGUGAGUAAUGCAUCGGAACGUGCCCAGAGGUGGGGGAUAACGCAGCGAAAGCUGUGCUAAUACCGCAUGUGGUCUGAGGAUGAAAGCGGGGGACCAAGCAGCAAUGUUUGGCCUCGCGCCUCUGGAGCGGCCGAUGUCAGAUUAGGUAGUUGGUGGGGUAAAGGCCUACCAAGCCGACGAUCUGUAGCUGGUCUGAGAGGACGACCAGCCACACUGGGACUGAGACACGGCCCAGACUCCUACGGGAGGCAGCAGUGGGGAAUUUUGGACAAUGGGCGCAAGCCUGAUCCAGCAAUGCCGCGUGCGGGAAGAAGGACUUCGGGUUGUAAACCGCUUUUGUACGGAACGAAAAGGCUCUGGCUAAUACCUGGGGCUGAUGACGGUACCGUAAGAAUAAGCACCGGCUAACUACGUG
rnacentral:rRNA from 1 species